UAGCGUAUAUUAAAAUUGUUGCGGUUAAAAAGCUCGUAGUUGGAUUUCCGUUCUGGACUGACGGUUCACCGCCCGGUGCACACUGUCACGCUCCGAACUUUGGCAAUGCUGGGCUGGCUCGCACGGGGUGCUCUUGAUCGAGUGUCCCUUGUGGCCGGCAGAGUUUACUUUGAAAAAAUUAGAGUGCUCAAAGCAGGCUACACUGAUGGCCUGAAUGGUGAUGCAUGGAAUAAUGGAAUAGGACCUCGGUUCUAUUUUGUCGGUUUUCUGAACCCGAGGUAAUGACUAAUAGGAACAGGCGGGGGCAUUCGUAUUGCGACGCUAGAGGUGAAAUUCUUGGACCGUCGCAAGACGAACUACUGCGAAAGCAUUUGCCAAGGAUGUUUUCAUUAAUCAAGAACGAAAGUUAGAGGUUCGAAGGCGAUCAGAUACCGCCCUAGUUCUAACCCUAAACGAUGCUGACCAGCGAUCCGCCGGUGUUAUUCCCAUGACCCGGCGGGCAGCUUCCGGGAAACCAAAGUGUUUGGGUUCCGGGGGAAGUAUGGUUGCAAAGCUGAAACUUAAAGGAAUUGACGGAAGGGCACCACCAGGAGUGGAGCCUGCGGCUUAAUUUGACUCAACACGGGGAACCUCACCAGGCCCAGACACCGGAAGGAUUGACAGAUUGAGAGCUCUUUCUCGAUUCGGUGGGUGGUGGUGCAUGGCCGUUCUUAGUUGGUGGAGCGAUUUGUCUGGUUAAUUCCGAUAACGAACGAGACUCUGGCCUACUAACUAGUCGACGGAUCUCCAGCAAUUGGUGUCCAGUUCGCAGCUUCUUCUUAGAGGGAUAAGCGGCAAUUCUAGCCGCACGAGAUUGAGCA
rnacentral:rRNA from 1 species